GUGUGUGUACCUGUGUGUGUACAUGUGUGUGAGUGUGUACCUGUGUGUGUGUGUGUGUUUAGCCACAGAAAGAGAGUGACUGGCAGUUAGGACGAUGGUUAGAAAGGAGGGAUCACCAGCAGGACCCUAGGAGCGCAUGUGAUGUCAUCAGGCCAAACUGCCAUGAUUCCUCUGAAAGGACUGGUUCACAGAGUUGCCAUAGUGACCCGACUGAUGGCGGCAAAGCGUCCGAUCACAGACAGACUGUGGGGAGCAAGAACAGGUGUGAGGAUCUGCUGUUAGAAAGCACUGGCAUGGAGAUUUCCCAGCGUGCUGAAAACACAUCCACACACAGAGCGAAACACAAGAGAAAGAAAACGGCACAUCACCCAGAGCAGAAGAGAACGACAACAGACAACAACAUCAGCAAACAAACAGACAGGAAAGAAACACAUGAGCCGCUGCUGGUGAAGAUAGAGCUGAAUCUGCUCUCCAGAAUCCCUCGGGAGCCCAGAUCAGCUCCACCUCUCGCAGAGAGCAACAGCGCGCCAGGACGCAAGAGAGCGAUGGAGAGGGAUGAAAAGUCUUCAAAGAAGAAACAGAAACUAGACAAAGAGGGAAAACAGUCUUCCUCCUCUCAGCAAAGCCUCCACCAAUCAGAAGCCGUGAGGAACAGUGACAUGAUGAUGAAGAAGAAGAGUGUGAAACACAGGUCAGGUGGUCUUCAGGAGCCACACAAAGACUCGGGACGCGAGCGUCGCUCAGCCGCGGCUCCUGACGACAAGCAGAAGAAAGCAGAGACUCAUGGGAAGGUACUGCAGACAUCCUUAUUUCUAAGUGCUUUUGGGAUUUCCUCUCUGGUGUAAAUAACUCUUUUUAUUACACAGAAAACCUGCAAGAGCCGCAAGGAGCUCCCGGAGAAAGCGUGUCCACGAGCACUGCUGCCGCCUGAUCGCAGGUGUGUGUCGUGCACCGCAGGCUCAUUCACACAGCCCACAUGACUUCACUGCAGCUUUACACUGAAUCACACAGUGCUUUAUCAUAGAGCGAUGUGAUACGAGUGAUGAAUGUCAGCCUAAACAUAAACAUCGAGUGUCUUCUAGGCUCCGUCACGCGCAUAGUGUUUCUGUGAUUGACCUCUGACCUCUGAUUCCCAGGAAACUCUCAGUGGAAGAUCAUUUGAAGGAAGCCAACUCAUGGGAAGGUACUGCAGACAUCCUUAUUUCUAAGUGCUUUUGGGAUUUCCUCUCUGGUGUAAAUAACUCUUUUUAUUACACAGAAAACCUGCAAGAGCCGCAAGGAGCUCCCGGAGAAAGCGUGUCCACGAGCACUGCUGCCGCCUGAUCGCAGGUGUGUGUCGUGCACCGCAGGCUCAUUCACACAGCCCACAUGACUUCACUGCAGCUUUACACUGAAUCAC
rnacentral:lncRNA from 1 species